GCCGGGGUGGCCGAACGGUUCAGGCGGCGGCCUGCAGAGCCGCUAUAUAUGGGUUCAACUCCCAUCCCCGGCU
rnacentral:tRNA from 1 species